UUUUUUUUUUUUUUUUUGGUUAACAAGUCUUUAUGAUCUUAAGUUCCUAUUGAAAGUAUAUUGUUCUUCUUUACGUGCAUUUGCAUAUCCAUUAUCUCUUUAUCAACCAUCAAUUGUCAGAACAUUUUUUGAUGAUUAUGUAAUUGUUGAAAUGGGUUUGUUAAAAUUUGAUGCUGAUAUUUUCAUUUAAAUAUUGAGUUCUUUUUUUUUUUUUAAUUGA
rnacentral:misc_RNA from 1 species